rnacentral:rRNA from 1 species
CCUACGGGUGGCAGCAGUGGGGAAUCUUCCUCAAUGGGCGAAAGCCUGACGGAGCAACGCCGCGUGAUCUAAUGAAGGCCUUCGGGUUGUAAAGAUCUGUUGACAGGGACGAAUAAGCAAUGCGAAUAGUUUUGUGUAUGACGGUACCUGUUUAGAAAGCUCCGGCUAACUACGUGCCAGCGGCCGCGGUAAUACGUAGGGAGCAAGCGUUAUCCGGAUUUAUUGGGUUAAAAGGGUGCGCAGGCGGCCUGUUAAGUCAGCGGUAAAAGCCCGGGGCUAAACCCCGGCGAGCCGUUGAAACUGGCGGGCUGGAGUUCGAGAGAAGUACGCGGAAUGCGCGGUGUAGCGGUGAAAUGCUUAGAUAUCGCGCAGAACCCCGAUUGCGAAGGCAGCGUACCGGCUCCACACUGACGCUGAGGCACGAAAGCGUGGGUAUCGAACAGGAUUAGAUACCCUGGUAGUC